AUUAUGUUUAAGAAACACUUUUCAUUAUAAACCCUUCAGAGUGUGCAUGAGCACAUUAAAGGUUCUUAGUAGUCCUAUAGUAACUUAAUCUGUUUAACUUUGUUUAACCCUCUAUUUUUCAAACUUUUAUGAACAUACAGUCCUUUUAUGUGGGUGCAGAAAGAGUCAGAGUGUGAAUCAAAAAGGAUCAGGUUAUUCCCAUUGUUAUUUUUUGUGUCAUGUGCCAUCCCCACAUCCCCUUCUUCUCUUUCCAGAUGAAAGUCCCUAGGUAGUUUUAUUUUUUUAAUUAUGAACUGUGGUGCUGAAGGAUAAAGUGGUGACCUAAGCAGCACGUUCCAAACCCGGGUGUCACUGACUUGCUCUGACCCCAUCCAAGUAACUUCCUGUCUCUGCCUCUGGGAGGGAAGAGGAAAUGAUGAAGAGGCCUUGGAACACUGGUGAAAAAUUCCACAUCUGCCUUCUUCUGAGGAGGUGCAGUUAGUGUCACUGGGGACCCAUUUGGAACAGAACCAGCAAGGGGGUUGGGUACCCCUCACCAAGGCAGUACCCAGCUGAUCAUUAAGGCUUAGGGUAUGAGGGCUUCUGGUUGCCUAGAGGCACUGACUUUGGCUG
rnacentral:lncRNA from 1 species